rnacentral:rRNA from 1 species
GACGAACGCUGGCGGCGUGCCUAACACAUGCAAGUCGAGCGGAGAAAUUAAAGCUUGCUUUAAUUUCUUAGCGGCGGACGGGUGAGUAACACGUGGGCAACCUGCCCUUGAGAGGGGGAUAACACAGAGAAAUUUGUGCUAAUACCGCAUAACAUUUAGACUUCGCCUGGAGUUUAAAUCAAAGGAGUAAUCCGCUCAAGGAUGGACCCGCGGCGCAUUAGCUAGUUGGUGAGGUAAUGGCUCACCAAGGCGACGAUGCGUAGCCGACCUGGGAGGGUGAUCGGCCACAUUGGAACUGAGACACGGUCCAGACUCCUACGGGAGGCAGCAGUGGGGAAUAUUGCGCAAUGGGGGAAACCCUGACGCAGCAACGCCGCGUGAGCGAUGAAGGCCUUCGGGUUGUAAAGCUCUGUCUUUGGGGACGAUAAUGACGGUACCCAAGGAGGAAGCCACGGCUAACUACGUGCCAGCCGCCGCCGUAACAC